CGUAGGGGCAAGCGUUGUCCGGAAUCAUUGGGCGUAAAAGCGCGUGUAGGCGGCCUUGUAAGUCCGUUCUAGAAAGUCCGGGCUCAACCCCGGGAGGCGGAUGGAUACUGGCAAGGCUCGAGUACGGAAGAGGCGAGUGGAAUUCCCGGUGUAGCGGUGAAAUGCGCAGAUAUCGGGAGGAACACCAAUGGCGAAGGCAGCUCGCGUGGGACGUUACUGACGCUGAGACGCGAAAGCGUGGGGAGCAAACAGGAUU
rnacentral:rRNA from 1 species